rnacentral:misc_RNA from 1 species
GUGAAUCAUCAAAUUUUUGAACGCAAAUUGCACUCUCUGGUAUUCCGGAGAGUAUGCCUGUUUGAGGGUCAGUUUAAAUAAAAAUGGGUUUGGUGGCUGCCUUUCGGGGUGACGCACGGGAUUGGGGUGGUCUGGCUUUGGGUUAAGUGACCUAAAAUUUGGCAUGAUUUUUUUUCAACCGUAUUUAAAUGAUUUUAGUUAGUUUGCGGAUAUAAAAUAUA